rnacentral:rRNA from 1 species
UACGUAGGGUGCAAGCGUUAAUCGGAAUUACUGGGCGUAAAGCGUGCGCAGGCGGUUGUGCAAGACAGAUGUGAAAUCCCCGGGCUCAACCUGGGAAUUGCAUUUGUGACUGCACGGCUAGAGUGUGUCAGAGGGGGUAGAAUUCCACGUGUAGCAGUGAAAUGCGUAGAGAUGUGGAGGAAUACCGAGUGGCGAAGGCAGCCCCCUGGG